rnacentral:rRNA from 1 species
UUUCCGUAGGUGAACCUGCGGAAGGAUCAUUGUCGAAGCCUAGAAAGCACGACCGCGAAUGAGUUUACAAUUAGGGGGAACGUCGAUGGAUCCUUGGUCCAUAGCGUAUUCUUCCUCGGACUAUGAGAAGACUUUUGCUUCUUGUACUUCGAACUAACGAACCCCGGCGCAGACAGCGCCAAGGAAUCAAACUGAAAAGAACCUGACCCUCUAACCCGUUGUUUGGGUUUCGAGGGCCGUGUUUGUUCAAAAAAUAUCAUAACGACUCUCGGCAACGGAUAUCUCGGCUCUCGCAUCGAUGAAGAACGUAGCAAAAUGCGAUACUUGGUGUGAAUUGCAGAAUCCCGUGAAUCAUCGAGUCUUUGAACGCAAGUUGCGCCCAAAGCCUCUAGGCCAAGGGCACGUCUGCCUGGGCGUCAUGCAUUGCGAUGCCCCACAUAUAAGUAUGGGGGCUAAUCUUGGCCUCCCGCCGGUUCAACUCGCGGAUGGCCUAAAAUCAAGCCUUGAGAUCGGAAAAGGUUGCGACAAGUGGUGGUUGAACGGGCUUCGGCCUUAGAAAUUAUCAUGUCUAGACCUUUCUCCUCUAACGCUCUAGAAAGACCUAUUCGGAGUGCGUUAAUCGUGCUGCCAGCAUUGUGACCCCAGGUCAGCGGGACUACCCGCUGAGUUAA